GAGUUUGAUCGUGGCUCAGGAUGAACGCUGGCGGCGUGCUUAACACAUGCAAGUCGAACGGAGUACCCCUGAAGGAGUUUUCGGACAACUGAUGGGACUACUUAGUGGCGGACGGGUGAGUAACGCGUGAGUAACCUGCCUUGGAGUGGGGAAUAACAGCUGGAAACAGCUGCUAAUACCGCAUAAUAUAUCUGUGUCGCAUGGCAGUGGAUAUCAAAAGAUUUAUCGCUCUGAGAUGGACUCGCGUCUGAUUAGCUAGUUGCGGGGUAACGGCCACCAAGGCGACGAUCAGUAGCCGGACUGAGAGGUUGGCCGGCCACAUUGGGACUGAGACACGGCCCAGACUCCUACGGGAGGCAGCAGUGGGGAAUAUUGGGCAAUGGGCGCAAGCCUGACCCAGCAACGCCGCGUGAGAGAAGGCUUCGGUGUAAC
rnacentral:rRNA from 1 species